AAAAAAAAAAAAAGAGGAACAAAACAUGGGUAACUACAGAGAAGCUGGGAAAGAAGGCCAACAAGGUAGUAAUCUGCGGAACUGGCUCAGCGCAGCCACCAUUAGGGGGCCACCAUUGCGCAUGCUCACACAUCCACAGCCGCCACACCCGUCAUUUUGUGUCACUGCGCAAGCCCAGAACAUCCUUGCGUUCCCUCAACGCCGGCAGAACAAGAUGGCGGCGGCCACGUGGGAUACGGAAAGCAAGUGUCCGCUGUCGCGUGGUCACUGCCACCACCGACGCCACCCAGUCCCUCCCGAGGGGCCUCACACUCAGAUACAGCGCGCUGGCCUCCCACCAACCGAAAUGUUCACCUCCCAGCACGGGACCCGCCCGCCCCAGAGAAAGCCAAGCCUACGUGUCAGCGGCCAUUACUCUCCCCACUCACUAUCCCCUGGUCUCGGCCGGCGCGGCGCGUAUGUGGCGAGGAGCCGCCGUUCCGCAGGCCAUACGCAACUUACCUGGAAAUUAAAACGUAAAAAACCCGGACAGACGGCGAGCUCGGAGGAGCACAGAAAACAAGGACUGGCCUGCGCGGGAAGACGAUUGAUAAAGAGUACGUAGCAAGAACGUCCCGGAAC